rnacentral:rRNA from 1 species
AGGCACCGAUGCGUAGCCGACCUGAGAGGGUGAUCGGCCACACUGGGACUGAGACACGGCCCAGACUCCUACCGGAGGCAGCAGUAGGGAAUCUUCCGCAUUGGACGAAAGUCUGACGGAGCAACGCCGCGUGAGUGAUGAAGGCUUUCGGGUCGUAAAACUCUGUGGUUAGGGAGGAACAAGUGCUAGUUGAAUAAGCUGGCACCUUGACGGUACCUAACCAGAAAGCCACGGCUAACUACGUGCCAGCAGCCGCGGUAAUACGUAGGUGGCAAGCGUUUCCCGGAAUUAUUGGGCGUAAAGCGCGCGCAGGUGGUUUCUUAAGUCUGAUGUGAAAGCCCACGGCUCAACCGUGGAGGGUCAUUGGAAACUGGGAGACUUGAGUGCAGAAGAGGAAAGUGGAAUUCCAUGUGUAGCGGUGAAAUGCGUAGAGAUAUGGAGGAACACCAGUGGCGAAGGCGACUUUCUGGUCUGUAACUGACACUGAGGCGCGAAAGCGUGGGGAGCAAACAGGAUUAGAUACCCUGGUAGUCCACGCCGUAAACGAUGAGUGCUAAGUGUUAGAGGGUUUCCGCCCUUUAGUGCUGAAGUUAACGCAUUAAGCACUCCGCCUGGGGAGUACGGCCGCAAGGCUGAAACUCAAAGGAAUUGACGGGGGCCCGCACAAGCGGUGGAGCAUGUGGUUUAAUUCGAAGCAACGCGAAGAACCUUACCAGGUCUUGACAUCCUCUGAAAACCCUAGAGAUAGGGCUUCUCCUUCGGGAGCAGAGUGACAGGUGGUGCAUGGUUGUCGUCAGCUCGUGUCGUGAGAUGUUGGGGUUAAGUCCCGCAACGAGCGCAACCCUUGAUCUUGGUUGCCAUCAUUAAGUUGGGCACUCUAAGGUGACUGCCGGUGACAAACCGGAGGAAGGUGGGGAUGACGUCAAAUCAUCAUGCCCCUUAUGACCUGGGCUACCCACGUGCUACAAUGGACGGUACAAGGAGCUGCA